GCUUUGAGAUGGCCUCGCGUCCGAUUAGCUAGUUGGUGAGGUAACGGCCCACCAAGGCGACGAUCGGUAGCCGGACUGAGAGGUUGAACGGCCACAUUGGGACUGAGACACGGCCCAGACUCCUACGGGAGGCAGCAGUGGGGAAUAUUGCACAAUGGGGGAAACCCUGAUGCAGCGACGCCGCGUGGAGGAAGAAGGUCUUCGGAUUGUAAACUCCUGUUGUUGAGGAAGAUAAUGACGGUACUCAACAAGGAAGUGACGGCUAACUACGUGCCAGCAGCCGCGGUAAAACGUAGGUCACAAGCGUUGUCCGGAAUUACUGGGUGUAAAGGGAGCGCAGGCGGGAAGACAAGUUGGAAGUGAAAUCCAUGGGCUCAACCCAUGAACUGCUUUCAAAACUGUUUUUCUUGAGUAGUGCAGAGGUAGGCGGAAUUCCCGGUGUAGCGGUGGAAUGCGUAGAUAUCGGGAGGAACACCAGUGGCGAAGGCGGCCUACUGGGCACCAACUGACGCUGAGGCUCGAAAGUGUGGGUAGCAAACAGGAUUAGAUACCCUGGUAGUCCACACCGUAAACGAUGAUUACUAGGUGUUGGAGGAUUGACCCCUUCAGUGCCGCAGUUAACACAAUAAGUAAUCCACCUGGGGAGUA
rnacentral:rRNA from 1 species